GGGGAUUUAGCUCAGUGGUAGAGCAAUUGCCUAGCAAUCAGUAAAGUCCUGGGUUCAAUCCUCA
rnacentral:tRNA from 1 species